ACGUCCUUAGUUCAGUUGGUAGAACGUAGGUUUCCAAAACCUAAUGCCGAGGGUUCAAGUCCUUCAGGACGUG
rnacentral:tRNA from 2 species